CUGAGUCUGUGAUGAUGUAAAGUUAUCCCUGUCUGAAAGCCAAGAGGCCUUUCUGUGGAAUGUGGAUAUCUGAGACUCCG